rnacentral:rRNA from 1 species
AUGUUAGACCAAAAUAUGUCUAUUUUAUGCUGGAAUGUGCACGGACUCAAGUGUCCAGAUCGUCGAGCUACCGUUCAUGAAACCAUUGCUGCUUCUUCCUGUCAACUUGUAUGCUUCCAAGAAACAAAGCUCCAGUCCGUCGACCCCUCCAUUGCUGCUUAUCUUGGUGGACAACGGCUCAAGAACUUCGCUCAAAGACUCGCGGAUGGUAUGAGGGGAGGUAUUUUACUCCUCUGGGACGACAAGGCCGUCUUGAUUGCUAAUGUCCAAACUGGUUUUUACUUCCUUUCUGCAACUAUUAGCAUCAAAGGCCGCGGCGCUGAAAAACCGUUCAAAUUGACCACUGUUUAUGGCCCUACUAGAAGCAUUCACAAGGAUGCUUUUUUCCUGGAGCUAAAUUCCCAGAAGCCUCCCCCUGGCACCAAAUGUCUUAUCAAUGGUGAUUUUAAUCAAAUUUAUCGAGCCAGAGAUAAGAACCGCACCAACGUUGACCGCAGUCGCCUUGUGUGUUUCCGCAACACCUUGAACAACUGUGAGCUUAAGGAGAUUCAUAUGCAAAACUGGAAGUUCACAUGGAGCAACAAGCAACAGAAUCCGACAAUGAGAAAGCUUGAUAGUUUCUUCUGCAAUGAGGAUUGGGAUCUGGAAUUUGGCUCCCACAUCCUCCAUGCCCUCUCCUCUUCACUCUCGGACCACUGCCCCCUCCUGCUGGCUAGUGACCCUGGACCAAGAAAAUGCAAAUCCUUCCGCUUUGAAAAUUUCUGGAUUAAGAUGCUGGGUUUCCAGAAAGUUGUGGGUGAUGCUUGGGCUGAGAAUUCACCUCAUGCUGAACCUUUCCAGAGGCUAUUCCACAAACUAAAAAGAAAAAGCCAGAAGCUCCGCGCUUGGAGCAAGACUCUGUUUGCAAGCAACAAGGUUCAACUUCACAUGGCCCUGGAGGUCAUUCUUCACCUUGAUAUAGCUCAGGAGCUGAGAGAGUUAAGUUAGGAUGAGAGAGAUCUCCGUAAAAGGCUGAAAAGAAGGAUCAUUGGAUUGGCGGUGCUCGAGAAGGCUAGAAAACGCCAAAACUCGCGAAUCACAAACCUCAAGGAAGGAGAUGCCAACACCCGGUAUUUCCACCCGUGCGUCAAUCAUCGUCGGCGGAAAAACUUCAUUCACCGUCUCAAGCACAACCUUGGCUGGGUCAUCGCGCAUGAUGAAAAAGAACGUAUUGGCCACAACCACUUCAAGAACAUUGCCAAAAAAGGCCCCCUCGCAUUUGAUUGA